CUCCAAAGUUGUAAUACCACCUAGGUAGAUUCAAACUAGAGAAACUUUUCAUAACAAGUAUAACCAUGUACCAAGUCAGUCAGCUGGAACAUUCAAAGGGAGAUACUUCAUUAUGAUUGAUUUUGAAUGCCUAUUGAUAUUCAAGAUGACAUACUAUAAUUAUUUAAUGAAUCAAUACUUAGCAUGGGAAAAUAAAAAUCACUAAACUUCUAUUAUGCCGGAGAAGAGCAGCUGCGAGGAGAGAGAGGCACUACUAUGAGGAUUGGCGGUGAUGUGAGUGUGAAUCGACAUGGUCUCCUGACUGUGUUGCCGAGCAAGUCGGCGUUGUUGCAUUCAUUAAAGUCAAGGAAGAUGUGUUGUGUGGCUUCAUUCAAAUGGCUAAGCGUUUGUUAUCAUUCAACAUGCACCUAGCGCUUGGUUUAACUUUAUCUUNN
rnacentral:lncRNA from 1 species